rnacentral:rRNA from 1 species
GCUUUACCAUUGCAAUUCGAACGGUGUCUUCGGAACAGUGGUGGACGGGUGAGUAACGCGUGAGAAUAUGAAAAUAAAAAACGGGGAAACCACUGGAAACGGUGGCUAAUACUCCAUGUGCCGAAAGGUAAAAGGCUUGCUGCCUGAAGAUGAGCUCGCGUCUGAUUAGCUAGUAGGUGGGGUAAGAGCCUACCUAGGCGACGAUCAGUAGCUGGUCUGAGAGGACGAUCAGCCACACUGGGACUGAGACACGGCCCAGACUCCUACGGGAGGCAGCAGUGGGGAAUUUUCCGCAAUGGGCGAAAGCCUGACGGAGCAAUACCGCGUGAGGGAGGAAGGCUCUUGGGUCGUAAACCUCUUUUCUCAAGGAAGAACACAAUGACGGUACUUGAGGAAUCAGCAUCGGCUAACUCCGUGCCAGCAGCCGCGGUAAU